rnacentral:rRNA from 1 species
GAGCAGGAUGAAGCGAAAGUAAAAUUUCGUGGAGGUCCGAACCCACGAGCGUUGAAAAGCUCGGGGAUGACUUGUGGGUAGCGGUGAAAUUCCAAUCGAGCCCGGAGAUAGCUGGUUCUCCCCGAAAUAGCUUUAGGGCUAGCCUCAAGGUGAGAGAUACGGAGGUAGAGCACUGAAUGUCCUAGGGGGUAUUGCACCUACCGAAGACUAUCAAACUCCGAAUGCCGUCAUCUUAUACUUGGGAGUCAGACUGUGGGUGAUAAGAUUCAUAGUCGAAAGGGCAACAGCCCAGAUCGUCAGCUAAGGUCCCUAAAUGUAAGUUAAGUGGUAAAGGAUGUGGGAUUGCACAGACAACCAGGAUGUUGGCUUAGAAGCAGCCACUCAUUCAAAGAGUGCGAAUAGCUCACUGGUCGAGUGAUCCUGCGCCGAAGAUUUCCGGGGCUAAAACUUACUACCGAAGCUACGGCAUCAGUAAUGAUGGGUAGGGGAGCUUCCCAUACGGGUUGAAGCAUGACCGUAAGGACAUGUGGACAGUAUGGGAGUGAGAAUGUUGGCAUGAGUAGCGAGAUGUGGGUGAGAAUCCCACAGGCCGUAAACCCAAGGUUUCCAGGGGAAGGUUCGUCCGCCCUGGGUUAGUCGGGACCUAAGCUGAGGCCGAAAGGC